AGCGAACGCUGGCGGCAGGCUUAACACAUGCAAGUCGAGCGGGCCCUUCGGGGUCAGCGGCAGACGGGUGAGUAACACGUGGGAACGUACCCUUUGGUUCGGAAUAACGCUGGGAAACUAGCGCUAAUACCGGAUACGCCCUUUUGGGGAAAGGCUUGCUGCCGAAGGAUCGGCCCGCGUCUGAUUAGCUAGUUGGUGGGGUAAUGGCCUACCAAGGCGACGAUCAGUAGCUGGUCUGAGAGGAUGAUCAGCCACACUGGGACUGAGACACGGCCCAGACUCCUACGGGAGGCAGCAGUGGGGAAUAUUGGACAAUGGGCGCAAGCCUGAUCCAGCCAUGCUGCGUGAGUGAUGAAGGCCUUAGGGUUGUAAAGCUCUUUUGUCCGGGACGAUAAUGACGGUACCGGAAGAAUAAGCCCCGGCUAACUUCGUG
rnacentral:rRNA from 1 species